GGAUAAUUUAUUGAUUACUGAAGAUGGAUGCGUCAACUGGACUGAAGUUCCAAGAACUGCCCAAGAAAUUAAAGAUUGGAUUGCCGGCGAUGAUUCCAAAUACGAUUGAAUGAAUUUACAACAUUUUGAAGCUGUUAUUGAUAUAAUUUUUGCUUAUUUUGUUAAAGUUAUAAAAAGAAUAUUAUAUAAUUGCAUAUUAUUAUUCUAUUUUCUUGCUUGUAUUGUUAAAAACGCUGUAUAUAUUGAGAAAUUGAAUUUGUGGUGUGUCAUGCUUCAAUAAAAUUGUUGUUUUAUAUUUUUAACUAUAAA